rnacentral:rRNA from 1 species
AACGAACGCUGGCGGCAUGCCUAACGCAUGCAAGUCGAACGAGACCUUCGGGUCUAGUGGCGCACGGGUGCGUAACGCGUGGGAACCUGCCCUUAGGUUCGGAAUAACUCCCCGAAAGGGGUGCUAAUACCGGAUAAUGUCUUCGGACCAAAGAUUUAUCGCCUUUGGAUGGGCCCGCGUUGGAUUAGCUAGUUGGUAGGGUAAAAGGCUACCAAGGCGACGAUCCAUAGCUGGUCUGAGAGGAUGAUCAGCCACACUGGGACUGAGACACGGCCCAGACUCCUACGGGAGGCAGCAGUGGGGAAUAUUGGACAAUGGGCGAAAGCCUGAUCCAGCAAUGCCGCGUGAGUGAUGAAGGCCUUAGGGUUGUAAAGCUCUUUUACCCGGGAUGAUAAUGACAGUACCGGGAGAAUAAGCUCCGGCUAACUCCGUG